rnacentral:miRNA from 12 species
AAACCGUUACCAUUACUGUGCUU